CUCUCACAUCCAUAAAUGACCACUGGAAAAACUAUAGCCUUGACUAGAUGGACCUUUGUUUGCAAAGUAAUGUCUCUGCUUUUCAAUAUGCUGUCUAGGUUAGUCUUGAGAAACUUCAGUAAUAGGCAACUUGAGGCCAAAAAAAGUAAGAACUACAUAAUACAAUUAUCUAGUCCCCUAAAUUCCAGCCACAGUAUCUGCCUUUCAUUUUGAUUACAGAGGGAACAUCAGUGGUCCGCUUGGCAAUUGCUUCACAUUUACAUUCAGUGCUUUAGUAGAAGAGAAAGAAAGAGAAAAACAAAUGAGAGGCUUCAGAAGGAGAAGCCCACCUGUUAAGAACAGCUUUCCAUCCCUUCCCUGAGUCUUGGAGACCUGAGUUGUGUUCAUCUGUAAAUCAUUAGUCCUGAAAUUUUUCCUUGUAAAUCACUUAGGCAAUGUUGGGCAUUAACAAAUAAUUGUUCUUGAAUUAGUAGAAACUGUUUCAUUAUUUUUCUCUAAGAGAUCAUGACAGAAUUGUAAGAAUGAUCCCCAGCAAGCUUGCCCUUGUAUAAUCCACACCCCUUUGAGUGGCGGGUGGAACCGGUGAAGUUAGCCAGACAAUACAACUGUUACGUUGUAUGGCCCACCUGAGAUUAUCCAGGUGGGCCCAGACUAAUCACAGGUGCCCUUUAAAAGCAGAGACUUGUCUCCUGUUUGAAGUAAGAGAAAGAUAUGCCACGCUGUUUUUGGAGGGGGUUAUGUGCCAAGGCACCCUAUGGCAGUUGAGACUGACUCUUGGCUGACAGCCAGCAAGGAACUGGGGAUUUCAGUCCCACAAUCAGGAGGAACUGAAUCUGGCUACAAACAAGCCUGAAUAUGAAUUCUUUCUCUGAGCUUCCAGAUGAGAGCCCAGCCAACACCUUAAUUUUUUCCUGUCAAGCUUGAAGUAGAGAAACCACCCAAGACCCCUAGAAUUCUGAUCUACAGAACUGAACUGCAACUGCCGAGCCCAUGUGCCACAGCUGCUGAGGCCUGCGUGCCUAGAGCCCGUGCUGCACGACAGGAGACGCCACUGCAGUGACCAGCCCACCCACCGCAACCAGAGAGUGGCCCCGGCUCACCACGCUAUAGAAGAGCCCAUGCAGCGACAAAGACCCAACACAGCCAAAAAUAAACUUUUUUCUUUUUUAAAAAA